ACAGCCAGUUGAAAACACAGGUUCUCGUAUGAUCACCGAAGUUAAGCAACGUUGUACCUGGUCAGUACCUAGAUAGGUGACCACUUGGGAAUACCAGGUGCUGUAAG